CUAGGGGGCUCCAUGGGAUUAGCGGUGCCAGUAGGGGGCUUGAGCAACCCCCCCCACCCCCCCCCUAUCCAUGUUCUUGCACCAUUAAGCUGCACAAUACAAAAAUGACAGUGCAAAUCAAAUCUUUAAAUCUUAAAUUAAUAUCGAUAUUAGAACAAAAAACAAAAAUAACAAGUCAAUGCACCGCUGAAUUGUGCAUGAGCUCGCUGCUAUGAGGACGUCAUCAGUUAAUGUCAGGGACUGUUUCCUCCUAAUUGCAACAAUCCACACCAACACUGGCACCUAGCUAGAAAUAGUGUACUACGAUACUAAGGUCCGUCCAAUCCAACAACAACACAUGCAAAAAAAAAAGGCUUCAUGCCGCAUUUGAAAUCUUGAAAUUCUCGAAUUAAUCCU
rnacentral:lncRNA from 1 species